UAUUUGAAUAGGUCGCCGUCGCCGCAGCCGCCGUCCGCUCUCGCAGCCUGAAGAGAAAGAGGAGGAAGAGGAAGAGGGCAAGGACAAAAUUGUCAUUCACAACUAGUCACAACUCUACAUAUCUGAAUAUAUUAGGACUUUUGUAGGAAUAACUUAUGAAAGUUGAGUUUUGUAGGGAUAUAUCAGUAAUUCACCAUGUUUGCACUUGCAGGGACGUGUAUGU
rnacentral:lncRNA from 1 species